GAAUGGCUGAACUUAGCUGAGCACUCCCUAGAGAAUGGCUUUCAUGCUAUUGCUAUAAAGGCGUGUGAAAAUGCACAAUCAUGUCUCCAGAGGAAUGAUAUUGUGGAUCUAAACACAGAUGAAUGUUUGAGUAUGUGCAAGCUACUGAAAAACGAAGAGACCAAAGAUUGUGCCGGUGACAUCGGUAGCUUCACUUUCUGGUAUGCCUUAUAUGUUGUGCCAAUUUCUUAAGAUUCAUGGCACGAUUCAUCGACAGUUUCGCCCUGCUACUGUUAUGCUGGAAC